rnacentral:rRNA from 1 species
AUGGCAUCGCCGUCACUGUGGCCGGAAAAGCUCCUCGGUCCCAUCAUCGCCGGCCUCCGCGUGACGUGCCCAAGCGUUCCCUCGCCGCCGCCGCCGUGGUCCGAACUCCCACCCGAGCUCCUAGGCCUCAUCAUCGCCGGACUCCCGGACCCGGCCGACCGCGCCCGCUACAGCUGCGUGUGCCGUUCCUGGCGCUCGGCCCCCUACCCCGACACACGGCAGCUACCGUGGGUCGAUGCGGUGUGCCGUUCCUGGUACUCCGUUUCGUCUCCCGGAACGCUGCUACCUUCGAUCAGCGUCGACCGCUUACCAAUAUUGUCACCCCCGACCUCCCAACGCCAGCCACCACCAUGGCGCCAUAUCUGGCGCUCGCUCUUCUCCCCGCGGCGGCAACAUCCGUGGGUCGUGCUCCCGGGCGGCUUCUUCCUCGAAGACCUCCCUUCGGAGUUAUCCGACGUCUGGCCGGAACCUAUCGCCUCCUUCCCCGAGAACCUGCGGUGCGUCGGCUCCACCGGCAGCUGGCUCGCCCUCGACCGGACGGCCGGCGAGGGGAGGCAUGCCUACUUCUUGCACAAUCCUUUCUCUAGGGCAACCGUGCCGCUCCCGGAGCUGGACGCCGUUGUGGGAGAUGUCUCCGAGUUGUUCACGAUCCGCAAGGUGCUCAUGCGGUCGACCCCUGAUGACCUCAUCGUGGUUAUGACCAACAACAGGGAUCUCCCUAUAUUUUUGGUGCAGCGAGGGAAAGGUGUGUUGUUGCCACAGCCGGAAACAGCUCCCGUGGACUUGGGCACCAUCGUCGACAUUGCCUUUCUUGGAGAUAAACUCUAUGGACUCACCAUGGACAGCCUUGUCUCCCUCCCCAUCACCUUUGAUGAUGUCCACGACAUACCCAUGGCUACUAGUAUUGAGCAGGUCAUCUGGAGCGACAUUGAUUAUGCCGAUGUAGUAGGCAAUAAUGACGACGAGGACGAUAACGACACAGACGGUGAGGGUGACAAGAAAAACAUUGGCGAGGUUGAGAAUGGUAAUGAUGAGCUUCUUCUUAGCGAAGAGGACAAAGCCGAACAGCGUAAUCACAUCAAAUUGAUGUUAAAAGCUAGGGAUGGCAAGGUAGGCCCCGGCUUCCGGUGUGAAGCCGACUAUAUGAUCUUUCGGUACUUGGUCGAGUCAUAUGGGAAGCUUUUCAUGGUGAUUCGAGAAGCGGAUAGCGUGAGAUUCACUUACAAGGUGGAGCUUCUCGUGCUCGAUGUCAAUGCACCUGCAUGGCUUCCGGUCUCCGGCGGUGGGCUAGGUGGCCAUACGCUUUUUAUCAGCAAACCCUUCAGCAAGUCUGUUUUAGCUCGUGGGGAGGUAGAACCAGACGCUAUUUAUUUUGCUGAUUUUGGUGGUGAAGUCUUUUGCAUGAAAUCCUCACAGGCGAGACACAUUGGUCAUUUUCGGAGGGAGAGAUUUCUUGACUUCAAUACCACAACGUGGAUCUUUCCUCCACACUAA